rnacentral:lncRNA from 1 species
CUGAUCGACCAGCUCGAAAAGCUCAAAGUUUCCAAAGUUCGUCCGGGAAACCCUCCGUGCCUCUGUCGAGUCCGACUGGAAUCCUGGAUCCUUCCCAUCAAGGCUUUAUCACUUAUAGUCAAUACAAAGAAGCACUGAAGACACUUGGCAUCAAGAAUUUCAAUGAGUUCCCAGAAGGAGCCAGUGAUGACAGAAUAUCACAAGAGACAUUCAUAACAGAAGCGACAGAAGGGCUUGUCGGACGUACAGCAACAUUCCAGCAACAGGAGAACUCAACAUCUCUGUCCUAAGUAUCUUUAAAACUGCUUUUAUAACGAUUUAUAUGAAAACAGUACAUAUGUAUGCAG